AUCGCUUCUCGGCCUUUUGGCUAAGAUCAAGUGUAGUAAAUACCGUCUGGAUCUCCCUGAGACUUGCACACCUUUCUGAAAUGCAGACAGGAUCUUGCUCCAAUACUAAGGAAUGUGAUAGUGUAAAAUAUUUUGAAUAUCACUUCUUUA
rnacentral:snRNA from 1 species